rnacentral:rRNA from 1 species
GGCUUAGAGUUUGAUCAUGGCUCAGGAUGAACGCUGGCGGCGUGCCUAAUACAUGCAAGUCGAACGCGAGCCUUCGGGCUCGAGUGGCGAACGGGUGAGUAAUACGUAAGCAACCUGGCCUUUACAGGGGGAUAACUGAUGGAAACGUCAGCUAAGACCGCAUAGGUACAGAGAUCGCAUGAUAACUGUAUUAAAAGUGCUACGGGACUGGUAGAGGAUGGGCUUACGGCGCAUUAGCUUGUUGGAGGGGUAACGGCCCACCAAGGCGACGAUGCGUAGCCGACCUGAGAGGGUGACCGGCCACACUGGGACUGAGACACGGCCCAGACUCCUACGGGAGGCAGCAGUAGGGAAUUUUCGGCAAUGGGGGGAACCCUGACCGAGCAACGCCGCGUGAAGGAAGAAGGAAUUCGUUCUGUAAACUUCUGUUAUAAAGGAAGAACGGCACAUAUAGGGAAUGAUAUGUGAGUGACGGUACUUUAUGAGGAAGCCACGGCUAACUACGUGCCAGCAGCCGCGGUAAUACGUAGGUGGCGAGCGUUAUCCGGAAUUAUUGGGCGUAAAGAGGGAGCAGGCGGCAGCAAGGGUCUGUGGUGAAAGGCUGAAGCUUAACUUCAGUGUGCCAGAGAAACCGGGCAGCUAGAGUGCAGGAGAGGAUCGUG